AACGCCCCCCGUCAGAAGCCUCGGGAGGGGUGUCUUCUCUCUCCCAGGGACUUUCCGUCAGGACGCAGGGCCUGGCUUUUCACUGGGUGUCCAGGGAAGCCUUGGUCACCUGGCACCUGUUUGAGCAGGAAGUCUGCAGGAGGCUUCCGAGCUGCUUCCAAUUGGAAUUCGUGACUCAGACCGUGUCUCCAAGGCAGAGCGGUCGGACCAUCCACGGGGAUCUCAGACCAC
rnacentral:lncRNA from 1 species